rnacentral:tRNA from 7 species
GGGUGAUUAGCUCAGCUGGGAGAGCACCUCCCUUACAAGGAGGGGGUCGGCGGUUCGAUCCCGUCACCACCCACCA